AUUUCAUCAUAAUGUAUAACCACAGACAUACUCUGAUAAAUAUUUAAUUCAAAUAUGGUCACCUUUAAACGGUAUGAUUGUUGUUUAAUACAAUUUCGAGUACUAUUGUGCUAUUUAAUGGUGGUCAGUUUUUAUUGAUUGUGGAAGCUGGAGUACUCCGUGUUGACUGGCUAGUGAUUACGGAAGUUGAACUACAAGGCCACUUAUCGCCAAGGCCGAUCAGAAAUGAAAGGAUGUUGACCAUUUAUCUGAAUAUCGUUGUAUGUAACAGUGGUAAAUGUGAGAAAAAAACUUGGGGAAAUACAAAAUAUAUUUAUCUCUUUAGGUGUGAAAAUGGCAUCCUGCAUGAACAUCAAAACGUUAGUAAUAUUUAAGUAAAUCGUAGAACAAGUUUCUGAAAACUGAAAUUUGAUAAAUGCUUAUGACAAAACGAUAUUUUACAAUAAAUAUCAUAAUACUGUAAGGCUGGGCAGUAUUAAGGUAACGACUUGAUUAGGGAGGAUGAGGGUAUAGCAGUUUUGCUUUUUACUGAACGUUGUGUAAUACAGUGUAACCUGUGUUAUCCGACACUCUAUGGACCAGAACAAAAAGGUCGGAUUAUGCAGUGUGACAGAAUACUCAGGUAUUUUCUGCAAGGAAAGGCAUAUUUUGGGACCAUGAAAAAUUGUCGGUUAAAGCAGGAUGUUGGAAAACUGAGGUGUCGGGUAAGGCACGUUACACUGUAUAACUAUUUGCGUAAAUGAUACGCAUAUGAAAAUGUGAACAAAUUAAUCUGACCUUGACAUGUAUAUUUCCAAGGCGUAGUUCGCUUUAUUUUUAUCUUCAGUAACAUAAAAGAUGGCAACACGUCACGCGGUUCUUCCUCGUGCAUAUUUCUUGUUUAUUAUGGUAUUAACAGCAAAGUUUAUUCUAUUUUUUUACGUUUUUAAAAUCAAUUUAGACCACUCCUUUAUGUGAUCGCA
rnacentral:lncRNA from 1 species